GCCGGAGUAGGUCAGUUGGGAGAGCGUUAGACUGAAAUUGUUCACGCAACAAUCAUUUAAAGGCCCCCGGUUCAAUCCCGGGUUCCGGCA
rnacentral:tRNA from 1 species